rnacentral:lncRNA from 1 species
AUUCCGGAUUGCCUCAUAAACGGGUUGGACAAACCGGGUUACAACCGUACCCGAGUCGAUUAUGGUCCCCGCCCCGGUGUUGGGGUUAAAUGCUAUAUAUUCUGGGGCGAUGGGGACCCGAACCCUGCCUACGCUGACCCCUGUUAGGUUAACGUAGUAAAGUGAGGGCCGGUGGGGGUUUUUUAGGAGCGGGGUGGUCCGAAUAUUUUUGGGCUGACCUACUGGCCCGAGUUUGAGGGAACCCGAGAAGUAGUAGGACUUGAAACUGGGUAAACAAUAGGAAAACACGCUGGAGUAGAGUGACCCGGAUUGUGAAAGAAGUGACAUGGGGCCCCGCCCCAGACCCAAAAGCCCUUGGGGUGGGACUGACCCACCAGAGAUAGAGUUAAUACAUCCAAAAGCAAAAUUUGGGAGAAUGUCAUUGGCUAAUCCCAAGGAAUCUUGUACCAAGGUGGCAGAGAACGAUGAAUCUCCACCGUAGGAUUGGUUAAAAGAGCAUGCAGCAGCCCCAGUUGCCGGGCACGAGAGUCCGCGGACCUGGGCGCACUGGGGCAAGGAGCAAUCCAGUGACCCGUAACUGGAAGAAGUGUUGGGUGAGAAAGUGGUAGCUGAGCAGCCAAUGCAUCCGGAGCAUGGGACCCAAGCAGCAUCAUUACUAGUAUCAAGUACCAUGAACAUGAGCUGACCUGGAGUGCCGAGCUUGACCCUUACAACAUAGUUGCCAAUGUUUAGAACUUGUUGGCCUGAAGCAAUUGGAACAGCCGUGGUUUUCUGGGCCGCCAGGCUGGACAAGUACUUGACCCUCGCUGGGUCUUUUGCGGCCAUGUUAAUGACUGUGUUGACCCAUGAGUCAGGUUUUGGUGGGUUGAAUGGUGAACAUUUGCCAUAGAUUGGAAUGAUGGAGAGGCCUGAGUUAUCUGCCUGAGCGGCACAAGGGUCCAAAGCCUUGGUGGAUGAGAUGAGAAGCGCAAAAAAGAGAAGUGUGGCAGUGAAGUCCAUGGUUUAGAGCUAGGACUUCAGCUCGGAGGUAGGGGGGAGAGAGGAAUUUAUUAGUGAGCGCGCAUUAGAGACGAGAAUCCAAGAAGAUUUUAUACAUGCAAUUAGUGUACCUGGAAUUACUGAAAUAGCCUUGUAAUUAUGAUAGGUUAAAAGAUCGGCGAGGCCAGGCAGGAAACUUUCGGAACAUAUUCGGGAUCCAAAUAGAACACCCGACUUUAAGUGGGCCAAUCAGCAGGUGAAGAAUAGGCCGCAAAAAUUAUGUCCCUAUGUGCCAUGAUGUUUGAUCAUUCUUACAAAAAGGCCACAGAUUGCAGGGGAAACUGAGGCUAAAUGACAAGCUUUCAAUGCAACCAGAGGUCAAGGACAAACUGAGAGCAAAUAUGAAAUGCUUCAAGAAUGUCCUUAUCCGGUAAGACUUCCACCUUCAAAACUUUGCCCCUUCUUAUCCAUCAAAAUCUCAAUCCUACCACUUCGAGCCAAUAACAAGCACUGACCAAGACCCUGCUCCAAAAGGGAACUCCUUGGUACGGUUCCAGUAAUAAAUAAUAAUUUAAUGGUUCUUUACACUCCCUGGCAGGGAUAUGGGACAUGAAACCAUCCAAGAGGCUCGGUAUUAGGAUUGAAAAUUUGGGACAAUUGGAGGGUAUUAUUAGAAUAAAGGCCAAUGAGUUGUUAGGCUCGUGAAUCCCUGCUGGAGGGUACUGCUAUUUUGUCCCUACGUAAGUUUGCAUGAGAUGUGGUCGGUCACGGGAUCGCGAAGACUUUGCCGACUGAACCGAUGCCCCACCAGCUGUAAACUCUGUAAGAUUAACAUCAGCACUCCAAUCUGCAGAUUCCAAUGGGGGAACUAGAUCUGCAUCUCCUCCUAGUAGUAAUAGUUUUACUCAAUUAGAAAGUACUCCAUAUAUAUAUAUAUAUAUAUUUUAGAUUUGCUAGAGACCUCAUGCUUGAUUAUUUAACUUAUGCUUUAGAUUUACUAGAUAUUAUGAUAAUCGUAAAUUGUAAUGUCAGGAAUUUUCCAUUGUUUUGUAAAUUGGAAUUCAUUCAUGUGAUCCUUGAUUUGAUUGCAACGGAAAAAGGAGAUGGAGAACCUUUUUUUAGAAACAACAACUAUUUGUCCGAAAAUGAGCAAUUUCUUUUAGUCAUGUUCAGGAACAAUAUUGAUCCAAUCGAAAACUCAUCCAUGUAGUAUCUAAUGAAAAUACAAGUGGACCACGAGAGAAUGGGCUCUUUUCACUAAAACCCUCCAUGAUUUGUGAGAGCCCCCACCAGCAAGCUCACGAGGCUGUCCUGUUCAAAGCAUUUCUCGUUGUUGUCUUGUGAAAUCGGUAAACUUUGCCACGGACGUCAAUUUAUAUUUUUAUGCAACAGUUCAAAUUUCUAAAAGGAACUAUACCCUAGGAGUUUGGAUCCUUCUCUUGAAAAUAUCAACACCUGCCAACUAGAUCUUUUGCUUUUUGCUUAGAAUGAUUUUCCCAUGAAUUCUUCACACUUCCCUAGCUGGUUCACAAAUCACAACCAUAUUAUUUACUUAUCGGCUGCAUGAAUCCAUGAUAUUCAGUUCCAUUUCACCUUUUCAAUCGAUAUUCAUGAAGUUAAUACGCUGGCGCAAGCUUUUUCUAUCGUUUCUUUCUAACUCAUUGUAGUCGCGGAUCGUUCAUUAUUACGGUCUUGGGUACUCCAGAGGACGGAUAUGAGCAAAAUCAUGUACAAGAUUUGACCUCGAAACAUCAAGGACACUAAAAGUCAAGUCCAGGUUUAGCAAUUAUACUAUGGUCAUUUCAGCUAUACAUGUGGUUAAAACCAAAUAGCUAAGUAGGAACUUAAACCAGAGGCGACAACAGCUGGAAAAAAAAAAUUAUUCAGGCCUUUUAAGGUGUACAACAAUACUAUAAAUACAAGGAAAAUAAAUGAACAAAUAUUACCAUAAAGACAUUACAAGUCGAUACAAGUAAUUGAACAUGCAGGGAUGGAACGGGGAUUUACAAGGGUGUCAGCACGGCAUAGCUUAGCUUCCAACACAGUUCUCUAAUUGGCAAGUGUGCAACACACCCCACACAGAACAAACUAGCAGUACCAGUUCAGAAAACCACUCCAGGAUAACACCAGCAUUUUGCUAUGCAUUAGCACAACAGGUAAACAAUCGAACAUAAGUCGAUAUUCAGAACAAAAUUAUCAGAGGGAAUGAAAUUUCACCAAAUAAAGUUGAGAAUUGUGCUGUGUCCAUAUUGGGAUAAAGAAGAAGACACUUUGAUGUGCAUGGAGAUGAAAUAAAGAUAGAAUUUUAAAGCAUGUUACUGUCUAAUCUAUCCUCGAGCAGGCCCCAACUUUAUUUCUUUCUCAUAUCAUACUUCCUCCAGCAUCUUCCAUCCCCAAAAACGAAAAAUAAAGGGAGAUAGGUUUCCUCAUUUGGAAGGUAUGCAAACAUAACUGCACCAGUUUUGGACAUUGUAGGACUAGAGCGCUUCCAAACAUAUCCCUAUUCCAAAAUCCCAUAGGUUUUUGUGGUAUAUUCCAUCUUGUUGCACAUAAUCAUUGCCCACCAAUUUGGCAAACUUUGGUAAAUAAGUGAGAUAGAUAGUAUAACGUACAGCAUGAAAGUCAUGUUAAUCUAUUAAAGUUAAACUAAAAAUAGAGAAUGUGACAAUUUUUUGCCAGACCAUGGCAGUCCAUCCCUUCAUGUUACUAAUACCUUUAACCUAGCUACUCAAGAAUAAUAUAAUUUUUUUUCAGAGUGGCUGGGUAGGCAAACUCCAUGUACCUCAAGUGAAUUAUUCUGUGUACCUAACUAGAAGAAAAUUUGCAUGUAUGUUAUAAAUGAUCAACAGUGAUGAGAAAUUUAAACAUGGAUAUAUAGAAAAAAGAAAACUGCAUCUCUGAAAGAAAAAAAAGAAUUUAUUUAGAAAGCCAGAGUUACUUUGAUCAAUUAAAUGAUAUUGGACAAAUAAAAUAUAUCCAAGAUCAUGAUCUGGGCUUAGUUAACAUCAGGAGAUCACUAGCAAGCUUCAAAUGGACAAUUUUCUUAAUUGGUGAUCCAUUAUUCAUGGUUCUGUGAUGUUGCUUAUGAUCAAAAUUGUUUCCAUUUUCUUUGGGCUGAAUAAGGACAAAACUUUUUCGACCCAGCGGUAUGUUGAUAUGUAUAGUAAUAUAGACAUCCAAGUAAAGAUCAUUUCCAUUUAAUCUUUCACCAGAGAUCACAUACAAAAUGGCUGUUUGGUGUAUCCUUCAGGUACUUGGCAACAAGUAGAGAUCUUUAAUUUUAAAUGCUGAACCACAAUUGAACCUGGAGACCUUUUUGUGUCAGAUUCUAUUAGUAUUCUUUGGAUAAAGACGCUUAAUGCCACGGCUAGAAAGUGACCAGCUGUUAGUUCAAGGAAUGGAAUAAUCAUAAAUUUUCCAUUCAAUGAGGAGCAUUAAUUGCUGGCCUAUUUAGAGUUCAGACAGCAGUUGGUAAAUAUUCAAGCUAAUAUUAUUUAAUGGAUCAAAGAAAAUGGAAUCAAAAGGCUAAUAUUCAUGGCCAACAGAACUUCAAACAGUACCAACCGCAAGAAACAAUAAAUUGCCUUUAAGAGCACAAGAUGCAAACCAUGUACGUCCAUGCACAUUACAUAAAGAGUAAAAGAAUAAAAGCCCUUAGCUCCUCAUGAAUAUAUUUAUAUACAUGAACUGCUAGCAAUCAAUGACAAGUUAAAAAAAAAAUUAAUAAGAGGACAGGAAAAGAAGAAGAUAAAUGGAACAGGACUUGUCAUAUAUGGUGUUUUGAG